ensembl:snoRNA Scarna10 small Cajal body-specific RNA 10
GCCAUGUGAUGAUAUCAAGGCUGUUGUGAUUCAGUUGGUUUAGCUAAGUCCAGGGACCUCUGACCUAUUCAGGUCUGUAAUCUUGGUGGUCGAUACAGAGUAAUGUGCGUUCACUGUAAGGGCGGACCGACAAAAAAUUUCCUACUCUUUAAAUUACCUCACUCCAGUCGGGGUGAUUCUCCAGCUGCCAGGGAGGAAUUGUGGUAACUGGAAUGAAAGUAGGAACAGUCUUAUAUUCGAGGUGCCAGGGUCAGUGGUCUCAAAGGACUUAGCUGUGUCAUGGCCACUGAGAGAUGACACACAGAUCUUUGGUAAUCUGAUGGCU